UGGGGGAUAUUGCACAAUGGGGGAAACCCUGAUGCAGCGACGCCGCGUGAGGGAAGAAGGUUUUCGGAUUGUAAACCUCUGUCUUCAGGGACGAUAAUGACGGUACCUGAGGAGGAAGCCACGGCUAACUACGUGCCAGCAGCCGCGGUAAUACGUAGGUGGCGAGCGUUGUCCGGAAUUACUGGGUGUAAAGGGAGCGUAGGCGGGUACGCAAGUUGAAUGUGAAAUCUAUGGGCUCAACCGAUAGGCUGCGUUCAAAACUGUGUAUCUUGAGUGAAGUAGAGGUAGGCGGAAUUCCUGGUGUAGCGGUGAAAUGCGGAGAUAUCAGGAGGAACACCGGUGGCGAAGGCGGCCUACUGGGCUUUUACUGACGCUGAGGCUCGAAAGCAUGGGUAGCAAACAGG
rnacentral:rRNA from 1 species